ensembl:lncRNA
CUGAAUUUGUGUUCUCCUCUGGAAAAAAAAACUGCAUAAUCUGCCAUAAAGCCAUCUAGGCCGUGUUUGACCCAUAAAUACCCUGUUUGCAUUUUUGCCUCGGUAAAUCCUCCACCCUCUCCUGGUAAACGCCGAGUCAAAGAAGCUUAAGGAAAGAUAGAGCAAUGAAUUUGCCGCUCAUGAAUACAGUUAAUGUUGUUUUUUCACGUCUCAUAUGUUACUUGAUUUGAUGUUCUGUUAUUGUUAUUUCAGCUCUUAAUCUUCUGGGAUUGGAAGGGCGGCGCAUCUUAGGCCGACAGACAAUGGAGGCCAGAGAAGACUUCCUGACUCUACUCAGAUUUAAGGAAAAUGACCUAUGAGAAAACGAAACAAGACCCUGGGAAGCAGCACCGGAUUCCAGUUCUGGGCAUGCAUUGAAAAGGGGCAAAGGUGCUGGAGCAGAUCACUGGUCCCUGGAGUUGGAACGCAGGCCGGGAUUCCUU